AUGAUGUUGCCCCUUCUUUGCCGGGGCGACGGUGUCGUCCGUGGACUCGGUUUCCGCAGCGGCGUCUUCGCCGGGGUACUUCCUCCCCUCCUCAGCCCGGGCGCAUCUAUCGGCCAGAACAUAGAGUUCAGCCACAUCCCUGACCUUGUUCAUUGCCAGCUCUUCACGCAUCUUGCAAUUGCGCACAUUCCGGUGGCAUGUGCUGAUCACGGCGGCAUGAUGAACGUCUGGAUGUUGUAUUGCACCCGGGUGAACCUUUGGAUGUACUUGCGCAGGCUUUCUCCUUCCUUCUGGGGAAUGAUGUGCAAAUCACUCGCUUGGCCAUGA
rnacentral:rRNA from 1 species